UACGUAGGGCGCAAGCGUUAUCCGGAAUUAUUGGGCGUAAAGAGCUCGUAGGCGGUUUGUCGCGUCUGCCGUGAAAGUCCGGGGCUUAACUCCGGAUCUGCGGUGGGUACGGGCAGACUAGAGUGCAGUAGGGGAGACUGGAAUUCCUGGUGUAGCGGUGAAAUGCGCAGAUAUCAGGAGGAACACCGAUGGCGAAGGCAGGUCUCUGGGCUGUAACUGACGCUGAGGAGCGAAAGCAUGGGGAGCGAACAGG
rnacentral:rRNA from 2 species